rnacentral:rRNA from 1 species
GUGCCAGCCGCCGCGGUAAUACGGAGGGGGCGAGCGUUGUCCGAAGUUACUGGGCGUAAAGCGCGCGUAGGCGGGGAGGUAAGUGAGAAGUGAAAGGCUGAGGCUCAACCUCAUGCAGGGCUUCUCAUACUGCUUCUCUUGAGGGCGGUAGAGAGAAGUGGAAUGGCUGGUGUAGCGGUGAAAUGCGUAGAUAUCAGUCGGAACACCGGUGGCGAAGGCGGCUUCUUGGGCCGUACCUGACGCUGAGGCGCGAAAGCCAGGGGAGCGAACGGGAUUAGAUACCCGGGUAGUCC